rnacentral:lncRNA from 1 species
GCCCCUUGAUCCCUCAUUCUACUCAUGUCCUGGUCUGGUUGAUUUGAUAUGGAAGUAGUGAAACUAAUGAAUAUUCUAACACAAAGUAACAUUGGUUGUUUUUUUAGGAAAUGUAACAUCGGUUGUUAAAAAAGGAUAGAGAUGAAUGAGAUAUACAGUUGUAUAGUUCAUCACUUUUCAUUUGAAAGUCAUCUUAUUUGGCAUGAAAAUAUAAUGGUUAUAGAUUGCCCUCGUAGUUGAAGAUCCACACGGAUGUAAAUUUCCUCUCCACCAUUACUAUGUAGUACAAAAACCCUUGAUGUUACAGAAAAACAUUCUUUUAAAAUGGUAUAAUGUGCUUUCAUUUCUAGUAGAGGAGGAUGUGCUUGCGAAGGUGGCCUAUCGUAGCCCCUUUGGGCCUAGGAAAUAGCAGCAUCUCCUGUAAAGUCCGGACAAGUGCAUUGCAUCGGAGUAGCCGACUUGACACUAUCACUACUACACACAUUCUUAACGAGGCGGACAAAAAGGAUUUAUUGAGGCAGUUUUUGCAACCGCUUUGGAUCAAAGGUCAUGGUUAAUAUGAUCUUUUUCAAUAUAGUUUGCUGCCCGCCUCAGUAAAUCAAAUAAAAAAGAAAAAUCCAUGGAUAAGCUCGCCGAGCCCAUCCACAGACCCGCCAAGCCCAUCCACCUGCCGCCGCGGCACAGCUCGCUGGCUCUACAUGUCGUCGUAGCCACUCGCGAAUCUGGGCACCCACCACCGGAUCCGGACACCCCUUCGCUAGAUCAAGACACCUGCUCGCCAGAGAAGGAGGGGAGGCUAGAUCCGCUUCCAAGGAUAUGCAGCAGCACCGUCGCAGCGGGAUCCGCCCCCGUUGGGCGUCAAUCUGCGAUGAGGAGUGGAUCUGAGAGGAGAGAGAGGGGUAAGUGACAUACCUCUGCCCAUGCGAGAUCCAUCAAGAGGAGGGGGGUGUUGCACUUGAUGCCGCCAUUGAUGAUGUUGGGUGAUGAUGCCGUAGCCCGACAGCCUCUUGGCCACCUCAUCUCCGGCCGAAGGGGUCCACUACUUGGUUAUGACUUCGCCACCAUACGCUGCCUACCCACGGAGCUCCACAUGCCGACAACAAAGGGAGAGGAGGAGGCCAACCGCGUGCUACUGGGAGGGGAGAGGAGGGGGGCCCGAGAGGAAGGGGAGGGGUGCCUGACGAGAGGAGCGUCGUGACGAGAGGAGUCGUGUUGGGCAGUUGUGGAAGGGUGAGAGGAGUGCGGCUGAGUAAAGUAAGGAGAGGAUGAGGGAGUAAAAUCCUAAGUCAGUGAUUUUAUACCUGUUGCACCUAUCGGGCCUCAUAUGGGCCUCUUGGGCCUCGAUUAAUUGGGCUAUUUCUAGAGGCGGC